GAUGAACGCUGGCGGCGUGCUUAACACAUGCAAGUCGAACGGAAAGGCUCCUGCUUGCAGGGGUACUCGAGUGGCGAACGGGUGAGUAACACGUGGGUGAUCUGCCCUGCACUUCGGGAUAAGCCUGGGAAACUGGGUCUAAUACCGGAUAGGACGAUGGCUUGGAUGCCAUUGUGGAAAGUUUUUCGGUGUGGGAUGAGCUCGCGGCCUAUCAGCUUGUUGGUGGGGUAAUGGCCUACCAAGGCGUCGACGGGUAGCCGGCCUGAGAGGGUGGACGGCCACCUUGGGACUGAGAUACGGCCCAGACUCCUACGGGAGGCAGCAGUGGGGAAUAUUGCACAAUGGGCGCAAGCCUGAUGCAGCGACGCCGCGUGGGGGAUGACGGCCUUCGGGUUGUAAACUCCUUUCGCUAGGGACGAAGCGCAAGUGACGGUACCUGGAGAAGAAGCACCGGCUAACUACGUG
rnacentral:rRNA from 1 species